rnacentral:rRNA from 1 species
AAUGAACGCUGGCGGCAGGCCUAACACAUGCAAGUCGAACGAGUGGCGGACGGGUGAGUAAUGCAUGGGAAUCUGCUUUAUCGAGGGGGAUAACGAGGGGAAACGUUCGCUAAUACCGCAUACGAUCGGAUGAGCCGAUGUCGGAUUAGCUAGUUGGUGGGGUAAAGGCACACCAAGGCGACGAUCCGUAGCUGGUCUGAGAGGAUGAUCAGCCACACUGGAACUGAGACACGGUCCAGACUCCUACGGGAGGCAGCAGUGGGGAAUAUUGGACAAUGGGCGCAAGCCUGAUCCAGCCAUGCCGCGUGUGUGAAGAAGGCCUUCGGGUUGUAAAGCACUUUUGUUGGGGAAGCGGUACCCAAAGAAUAAGCACCGGCUAACUCCGUGCCAGCAGCCGCGGUAAUAC